rnacentral:rRNA from 1 species
UGGGGAAUCUUGGACAAUGGGGGCAACCCUGAUCCAGCCAUGCCGCGUGAGUGAUGAAGGCCUUAGGGUCGUAAAGCUCUUUCGCCUGUGAAGAUAAUGACGGUAGCAGGUAAAGAAACCCCGGCUAACUCCGUGCCAGCAGCCGCGGUAAUACGGAGGGGGUUAGCGUUGUUCGGAAUUACUGGGCGUAAAGCGCACGUAGGCGGACCAGAAAGUUGGGGGUGAAAUCCCGGGGGCUCAACCCCGGAACUGCCUCCAAAACUAUUGGUCUAGAGUUCGAGAGAGGUGAGUGGAAUUCCAAGUGUAGAGGUGAAAUUCGUAGAUAUUUGGAGGAACACCAGUGGCGAAGGCGGCUCACUGGCUCGAUACUGACGCUGAGGUGCGAAAGUGUGGGGAGCAAACAGGAUUAGAUACCCUGGGUAGUCCACGCCGUAAAACGAUGAAUGCCAGUUGUCGGAUAGUAUACUAUUCGGUGACACA